GUAUGAUGAUACGGCGCUAUAGUUUUGUAUAUUGCAUUUAUUUUCAUGGUACGAUGAUACCAUCGUAUCAUCGUACCAUGAAAAUAAAUGCAAUAUACAAAACUAUAGCGCCGUACCGUAUGGCGCUAUAGUUUCGUAUAUUGCAUUUAUUUUCAUGGUACGAUGGUACGGCGCUAUAGUUUUGU